AUUUAUUUUUUAAUAAAUAGUAAAUUCACAUUGUAGAAUAUCUAAAAAAUAAAAUAAUGACGACGUAUUAACUUCAUCCCCACUGUUGUCCCCAGUUCCUCUCUGCAGAGGCACCUGCUGUCACUUGCUCCUCGCGAAUCCUGCUAGAGCUACACUAUGCGUAGAUACAUGGCAGCGUGCUCCUCAGCCUCUUCCGUGCUGGCUUUUCCACUGAAAUUAUCUUGGUGAUUGUUCCUCAACAUUACAUAUACAGCUGCCUCAUUAUCUACAGUAGCUGGGAUGCACAUUUCACAUGUUUAUGUACAUUGACUUCCACAAAGUUGCACUCACAGUAUGUGACUUUCUAAAAAGGAGAGACCAUGUUGGCAGUUCACACAGAAGACAAACUGAGAAGGGAGAGCAGGCACGAAUUACUCAUCUGUCCAGAGAUGGUGAGACAGCUCAGUGUGGGAAGCUGUAUAAGGGAAGUAUAUACAAUUCUACCUGAAUUGGAAGUAAACAGGGACAUUGCAUUUCUGGUAUUCAGCUGGAGUUGAACACGCUUCACAGAACAGAUGAGGCUCACAAUGGCCAAGCCCCAGGGCUGAGGUCCAGGGAGGGGCAGGGUGAGUCAGCUCAUCAAUUCGUCAACAGAGGGAACAGCAGAGGACAGGGGCAGGCCAGCCUGGCACCUAGAGCCUUUGGAUUUCUAUUUUUACAGUGAGGUGGUUUAAAAAAGAGGAGGUUAAACUGAAUUAUUUCUAAGAUUUCAUCCAGCUGUAAAAUCCUAUUAUUCUGAACUGCCAGGCUUACAAGUUCAAGAGGCAGAAGGUAAAUUCCUGCAGCCUUUAAAUGAACAAAACAAACAGCACAAGCUACACUGCGAAGAUGAGUCUGCACUGCAUGUAUUUCUUUCUACACCCAGGAACCUGGCUUACCAGUAUAUCACCCCAGCGUUGACAUACUGGUUUGAGUUUCCUGCCUGAUGAUCAGAGCCAGAAGCACAGGUCUCCAGGAAAUGCCACCACUGGAUAGAGAGCCACACGCUGCUUCCUAUCAUACGUCUACCUGGACCUAACUCAGGAAGAAACAUACACUUCCUACAUUUUAUCCCAUAAGCAAAGCAACUUCUGUAGAACUGCCCAUGGAGAUUUUGUCUUAACUUCAAAAAGUGCUUCUCCUAAUUUAUUUUCUGUUGCACGGUAUCAAGAAGCACCUGUGGAAAAAAAGGAUUCAAAAGAAGAAAACCAUAACCAUCUUACAAGUUUUUGCAUUGCUGAAGACUGACGACUUCACCCAGACCCACCAACUGGUCCUGGGACCCCCACCCAGGAACCCAUUCAGUGCAGGAGGACAGCUUCAGCUCCCUGUGUCUUCACGUGUGACCCAAUUGAUCAGCACUUCCCUCUUCCUGGCCCCCUACUGACCAAACUAUCCUUUAAAAACCCUAGUCACUGAGUUUCCAGGGAGACUAAUUUGACUAAUAAUAAAACUGGUCUCCCAUUCA
rnacentral:lncRNA from 1 species